CAGAAACGUAAGAGCGGCCGAAGCAAGAGCCAGGUCCCGGGGGGAAGGGCGCCCGUCGGUUCAGAGAGGAGCCCGGGCAGGCUGGAGCCACGCGACCGAGGGGGCGCAGGGGAGGGACCUACGGACUCAGCCCCCGCCCGUCCGUGCGGAGGGAGGGCCGGAGGCAGACGGGGCGGUCCUGCUCCCCCGACGGACGGCGCGGGGGCGGGGAGAUCAGUCACCGGGACGUGCUCCGGGACUGGAGGGAGGGACGAGCGCGGGAGGGGAAGGAAGUGUGCAGGAGGCUCUCCCGGCUGCCAGAGCUCUCCCAGGCGUGCGGGGGGCGUCAGGCCCAGGCUCUGAGACCCCCCGGGAUUCAGCCCCAGGGCGAGGGAUCAGGAGGGCAGAGGGACUCGGAGACACAGCAUGACCCCAGCUCCCGCCAGAUGCAAAGCCUUUCCUGGGUGCUCAGCAUGGCUCCGUCCGACGGUGAGUCCACCCUCCUCCGCUGGCCAUUGUCCCUGAAGCCAUGGGAUCCGAACCCCGCGCUCAUGGGGCCCGGAGGCAAUUUCCGGGCAGUAACCCAGGGAGGCUCCGAAGGAAACCGUGGGCGCGUCCAGGAGGACUCACCCGGCGGAAGUCCUGAUGCGGGACGCCCAGGCCGCGAUCCAGGCGGAGAGACCACAAUCGUUCACCUGAAGCAAAUAUAAGAAAUCUGAGGCCACACAGCACUACUGCCUGGUGAGAAAUGCGGGGAUUACGUUCUCAGGGGAAAAGCCAGAUGUUGCUGCACCGACCUCUGCCCGUGCCAUGGCACCGGGCACCCGGCUGUGGGUGGCGACGGCAGCCGGACCCCUGACCCUGCCCACAGGACCAUGUUGCUGAAGGGCCUGGUUCCCUUCUGGUUUAACUUUUAAGAAAGCACUGGAA
rnacentral:lncRNA from 1 species